ACAGAGGUCCCAAGCGUUGUUCGGAUUCACUGGGCGUAAAGGGUGCGUAGGUGGUGAGGUAAGUCGGAUGUGAAAUCUCGGAGCUCAACUCCGAAACUGCAUUGGAAACUACCUUGCUCGAGGAAUGGAGGGGGGACUGGAAUUCUCGGUGUAGCAGUGAAAUGCGUAGAUAUCGAGAGGAACACCAGUGGCGAAGGCGAGUCCCUGGACAUCUCCUGACACUGAGGCACGAAAGCUAGGGGAGCAAACAGGA
rnacentral:rRNA from 1 species